UACGGAGGGUGCGAGCGUUGUCCGGAAUCACUGGGCGUAAAGGGCGCGUAGGCGGCCUGAUAAGUAGGGGUGAAAUCCUGCGGCUUAACCGCAGGGCUGCCUUCUAAACUGUCAGGCUGGAGCACAGUAGAGGCAGGUGGAAUUCCCGGUGUAGCGGUGGAAUGCGUAGAGAUCGGGAAGAACAUCAGUGGCGAAGGCGGCCUGCUGGGCUGUUGCUGACGCUGAGGCGCGACAGCGUGGGAGCAAACAGG
rnacentral:rRNA from 1 species